ensembl:lncRNA
UAAAAAGAAGGGAGAAGGCUCUGUGGAUGCUUCUGGGAAGAAGGCUGGAAAUGUUUCUUCCAAUGAUGCAGAAACAAAGUGGAUCCUAAAGGACUUCAUGAACCAGAGCCAACAGACACAACUUUGGAAUCUCUGUAUCACAGUAUGUGGGAAAGAAAAGACCACAAAGUCCCAGGGUGAACCAGAACCAGGUCUUCAAGAUUACUAGAAAGCUACAGACAGGACAUUGUCAGCCUUGAUGUGUUUGGUCCCCUCUGCAUGACUCAGUGCCUGCCGUGUGCCUGGCCUCGGGAGGACCGUUCCUCACUGGGCUGGGUUCAAUUCCUGCUGGCACAUUACUGCUCUCACACAGCGCACACACCACCUGACAACCUCGUAAAGCCCCUUUAGGUUUGGACUGGAGGUUUACAAGUUUAGAUGGAAUUCUCAAGCAUUGCGGGUCACUGGAGCACGAGGGAAGUACUGCUCAUACCACCUCAGCUUUAAUCAGAUCUAAAUGUCACAUCAACCACAGAUGUGCAUUCCAAAUGUGAAAAUAAUGAGGUGGACGGAACAGAAAAACUUUUUUUUAACCUCUCUGAGGGAACCUUGGUAUGGUUUGCACUUAGACCAUGCCGACCUUACAUUGCUUGAAAUCCUUUACGAUCCUUUACAUCUCCUCAUAACAGUUUUUUACAGCACAUUCAGAAGGACUGUCACUGAGGGGGGAACUCAUAAAAACAUUUCCAGAUCACAUUUUCAAUAAAAAAGCAAAAGGAAAAAAUCAUAAUAAAUUCUAAAUGAAGAGUUUUUAAACUUUUCUAGACAUUUUACUUUUCAUUUGUGAGGUUCACCCACUGUUAAUAGAAUCAUAUCAACAUUCAACCUAUGUAACAUCACACCCAGAAUUUAAAAGAAGUGACAUAUUGAGCGAUUUAUGAAGCUGGCCAAUAAGAUACGACUAAAGCCUUUACAAACUCCUAACCACUGUACGGUAGUAUACUCUGGCUGUACAGGAAGUGGUGAUUUAUGAUGGAUCAUUUAAGCUCUGAAAUACAACUGUGCCCCAAGCAGUCAGAGAUGAUGGCAACAGAAGACAAGAAGUUCCCCUUUGGUGACUUGUCCAAUAACU